GGUUUUUAAUAAAAAGAAUUAAACCUCUUAAAUAAAACUUAAAGGACGCGGUAACCUUGACCGUGAUAAUGUAGCAUAAUCACUCGCCAUUUAAUUGAUGGAUAGUAUGAAUGGUUGAACGAAUAUUCCACUGUCUUAAAAAGAAUCAAAUAAAAUUAAAAUAAUAGUCAAGAUGCUAUUUAAAAUUGUAAGACGAAAAGACCCUAUAGAGCUUAACUAUAGUCUUUCUUACCUGUAUCAAAACAAUACUUUCUAAGUAAGAAAGAUUGGUAGUUUAGUUGGGGCGACUACCUUCUAAAAACAACGAAGGCAAGCAAAGUUAAUAUAAAACUUAUUAUAUAAAAAAAACUUUUAAUAAUUACAAAAGUAGGCUAUAAUGACCCGUUAAUAUCUAAUAAAAGAGUUAACGAUCAAUUAAUAAAAGCUACCUUAGGGAUAACAGGAUAAUUUCAUUUUAGAGUUCCCAUCGAAAAUGAAGUUUGUCACCUCUAUGUUGAAUUAA
rnacentral:rRNA from 1 species